UACGUAGGGCGCAAGCGUUGUCCGGAAUUAUUGGGCGUAAAGGGUGCGUAGGCGGCGCGGUAAGUCGGGUGUGAAAUCUCGGGGCUUAACUCCGAAACUGCAUUCGAUACUGCCGUGCUUGAGGACUGGAGAGGAGACUGGAAUUUACGGUGUAGCGGUGAAAUGCGUAGAGAUGUGGAGGAACACCAAUGGCGAAGGCAGCCUCCUGGGCCAAUACUGACACUCAUGCACGAAAGCGUGGGGAGCAAACAGG
rnacentral:rRNA from 1 species